rnacentral:rRNA from 1 species
AACGCGAAGAACCUUACCAGCCCUUGACAUGUCCAGGACCGGUCGCAGAGAUGUGACCUUCUCUUCGGAGCCUGGAACACAGGUGCUGCAUGGCUGUCGUCAGCUCGUGUCGUGAGAUGUUGGGUUAAGUCCCGCAACGAGCGCAACCCCCGUCCUUAGUUGCUACCAUUUAGUUGAGCACUCUAAGGAGACUGCCGGUGAUAAGCCGCGAGGAAGGUGGGGAUGACGUCAAGUCCUCAUGGCCCUUACGGGCUGGGCUACACACGUGCUACAAUGGCGGUGACAAUGGGACGCUAAGGGGCAACCCUUCGCAAAUCUCAAAAAGCCGUCUCAGUUCGGAUUGGGCUCUGCAACUCGAGCCCAUGAAGUUGGAAUCGCUAGUAAUCGUGGAUCAGCACGCCACGGUGAAUACGUUCCCGGGCCUUGUACACACCG